rnacentral:sRNA from 2 species
ACUGCUAAUCUAUUACUGCUGUCAAUCUAUCUACUACUGUUAAUCUAUCUAUUACUAUCAAUCUAUCUACCACUGCUAAUCUAUCACUGCUAAUCUAUUACUGCUAAUCUAUUGCUGUUAAUCUAUUACUGCUAAUCUAUUACUACUAAUCUAUCACUGCUAAUUUAUUGCUGCUAUUAAUCUAUCUAUCACUGUCAAUCUAUCUAUCACUGCUAAUCUAUUGCUGCUAAUCUAUCACUGCUAAUCUAUUGCUGCUAAUCUAUUGCUGCUAAUCUAUUACUGCUAAUCUAUUACUGUUAAUUUAUUGCUGCUGCUAAUCUAUCUACUACUAUUAAUCUAUCUACUGCUGCUAAUCUAUUGCUGCUGUUAAUCUAUCUAUCACUGUCAAUCUAUCUAUCACUGCUAAUCUAUCACUGCUAAUCUAUUGCUGCUAAUUUAUUGCUGCUAAUCUAUUGCUGUUAAUCUAUUGCUGCUAAUCAAUCUAUCACUGCUAAUCUAUUGCUGUCAAUCUAUCUACUACUGUUAAUCUAUCUACUACUGUCAAUCUAUCUACUGCUGUC